GAGUUUGAUCCUGGCUCAGGAUGAACGCUGGCGGCGUGCUUAACACAUGCAAGUCGAACGGAGUCAUCAUUUUUGAAGCAAUUAGCUUGCUAAGAGUGGAAAUGUUGAUGACUUAGUGGCGGACGGGUGAGUAACGCGUGGGUAACCUGCCAUAUACAGGGGGAUAACACUUAGAAAUAGGUGCUAAUACCGCAUAAGCGCACAGUAUUGCAUGAGACAGUGUGAAAAACUACGGUGGUAUAUGAUGGACCCGCGUCUGAUUAGCUGGUUGGUGAGGUAACGGCCCACCAAGGCGACGAUCAGUAGCCGGCCUGAGAGGGUGGACGGCCACAUUGGGACUGAGACACGGCCCAAACUCCUACGGGAGGCAGCAGUGGGGAAUAUUGGACAAUGGGGGAAACCCUGAUCCAGCGACGCCGCGUGAGUGAAGAGGUAUUUCGGUAUGUAAAGCUCUAUCAGCAGGGAAGAAAAAAAUGACGGUACCUGACUAAGAAGCCCCGGCUAACUACGUGCCAGCAGCCGCGGUAAUACGUAGGGGGCAAGCGUUAUCCGGAUUUACUGGGUGUAAAGGGAGCGUAGACGGCAGGGCAAGUCUGAUGUGAAAGGUCGGGGCCCAACCCCGGGACUGCAUUGGAAACUGUCCGGCUGGAGUACAGGAGAGGUAAGUGGAAUUCCUAGUGUAGCGGUGAAAUGCGUAGAUAUUAGGAGGAACACCAGUGGCGAAGGCGGCUUACUGGACUGUAACUGACGUUG
rnacentral:rRNA from 1 species